CUUCGGUACAAUAUACAAGGUGCUGCAUGGUUGUCGUCAGCUCGUGCCGUGAGGUGUCGGGUUAAGUCCCAUAACGAGCGCAACCCCUACCUUUAGUUGCCAUCAGGUAAUGCUGGGGACUCUAAAGGAACUGCCUACGCAAGUAGUGAGGAAGUGGGGAUGACGUCAAAUCAGCACGGCCCUUACGUCCAGGGCUACACACGUGCUACAAUGGCCGGUACAAAGGGCAGCUACCUGGUGACAGGAUGCUAAUCUCAAAAGCCGGUCUCAGUUCGGAUCGCAGUCUGCAACUCGACUGCGUGAAGUCGGAAUCGCUAGUAAUCGUGAAUCAGAAUGUCACGGUGAAUACGUUCCCGGGUCUU
rnacentral:rRNA from 1 species